rnacentral:lncRNA from 1 species
AAAUAUUUAGCAAAAAAGAGUAAAAAUACGAUUAAGUACCACAUCUUUAUAUUUUGGUGCAAUUCUUCACAUUUCCCAAAUUCUCAAAACUAACAAAAGCUUAUAAAUAAGAGCUGGCUUACUGCCGUUUUGGCAAACCCAAAAGUAAGAGUAGACCAGAAAAAUCGCUAGAAAAUCAAUGUUAGAUAUACAAACUCAGAAAAGAAAUUCAAAUGGAAUUUAUGCCAGUUUGAGUGGUCUCAUAUGUUAAGAGAAGAAUGAAAAAUUGCCUGAUCUUGAAGGACAGCGGAUAACCUGAUGAAGAAAGCCGAGCUCACCGAACGG